rnacentral:rRNA from 1 species
GUAGGGAAUAUUGGUCAAUGGACGAAAGUCUGAACCAGCCAUUCCGCGUGCAGGAAGAAGAUUCUAUGGAUUGUAAACUGCUUUUAGCAGAGAAGAAACGCCUUCAUUGAUGAGGGUUUGACGGUAUCUGCGGAAUAAGCACCGGCUAACUCCGUGCCAGCAGCCGCGGUAAUACGGGGGGUGCAAGCGUUAUCCGGAAUCACUGGGUUUAAAGGGUGCGUAGGCGGGAAAUUAAGUCAGUGGUGAAAGUCUGUUGCUUAACGAUAGAAUUGCCGUUGAUACUGAUUUGCUUGAAUUGGGUUGAGGUUAGCGGAAUGUGACAUGUAGCGGUGAAAUGCAUAGAUAUGUCAUGGAACACCAAUUGCGAAGGCAGCUAGCUGGGCCUUGAUUGACGCUGAGGCACGAAAGCGUGGGUAGCGAACAGGAUUAGAAACCCCUGUAGUCC